rnacentral:rRNA from 1 species
UGAGGAAUAUUGGUCAAUGGGCGGGAGCCUGAACCGGCCAAGUCGCGUGAAGGAAGAAGGAUCUAUGGUUCGUAAACUUCUUUUGCAGGGGAAUAAAGUGCAGGACGUGUCCUGUUUUGUAUGUACCCUGAGAAUAAGGAUCGGCUAACUCCGUGCCAGCAGCCGCGGUAAUACGGAGGAUCCGAGCGUUAUCCGGAUUUAUUGGGUUUAAAGGGUGCGUAGGUGGUUUGAUAAGUCAGCGGUGAAAGUUUGCAGCUUAACUGUAAAAAUGCCGUUGAAACUGUCGGACUUGAGUGUAAAUGAGGUAGGCGGAAUGCGUGGUGUAGCGGUGAAAUGCAUAGAUAUCACGCAGAACUCCUAUUGCGAAGGCAGCUUACUAAGCUACAACUGACACUGAAGCACGAAAGCGUGGGGAUCAAACA